rnacentral:lncRNA from 1 species
UCCCUUUAUUCCUGUUAGUAAUAGAACGCCCGAAUCUUAGCUGGACACAUGGCUUCCAGCUAGAAACUACAUUUCUCAGGAGCCCUUGCAGCCAGGUGUGGCCACGUGACUAUGUCUGAGCCAAUGGGAUUCAAGCAAACAUGAGAGCAAUUCGGAGGUCAUCACCUUAAACACAAAGCCACUUGCCCUAGGCUUCCUCCUCCCCCUUCCGCAGGCUGGAACUCGGAGUGGAGGCAAGCAAGCUCCUACCAUGCGUGCAAGGACAACCCCUAGGAGACAGAGGAGCAAGAAGAUGGAUGGAAUCUAGGUUCCUGGACAACCUGAUGGAGCACAGAAAAAGGAACUGACACCUCACCCUACACGACCUUCUUCGCACCAUGUUUAAUUUUAAUCAAAGACUUGGGUCCACACAAAGUCUUGGCCUGGAUAAAAUGGAAUGACACACUAUAAAACCUUGUUAUAAGCGUUCCAUAAACCCCAAAGUCAUGCAACUGGUUACCGUAAAAUUAUUAUGUGCAGGGAGGGCAAACGGGGUAAUAGGGCACAUGUGUACGGUGACAGGUGGUAACCAGCCUUUGGGUGGUGAACACGAUGUAAACUACACAAAAAUCGAAAUAUAAUGAUGUACACCUGAAAUUUAUAUAAUGUUAUAAACCAAUGUUACCUCAAUUUACAAAAAUACAUGCAGGAAGGUAGCCAGCACAUUUAGAAACUUCACGCAAACAGAAAAAGGCACCCACUCUGAUAGACAAUUAGAAGGUGCACUGUCCUCCAGUGCACAGAGGAACAGAGCCUAGGCUGGAUUCAGAUCCCAGCCCCUCCGCCAGGCACAGCCUGCACAGCCAUACACAGCAGUUUACACACAAAAAAGAAAUGGGGGGGAGGGGAUCUUGUAUCUAGAUGAAUUUUAUAUAAAGUGAAGCCGGUGCGCCGAGGCAGUUUUCUGUUCGAGGAAAUCCUGCUGUGAACUCCUUCGUCACGUGGAGAAUGCUUCCUAAUGGAGGUCGUCACCACCCAGGCACUGCUGCGAAAUUCAGAUCCGUGAUUUGGCGAAAGUGAGAUCUGGCCGGAGAACUCAGAGAAAUUACAGACGCUGUUAAAUUACAAAGCACUCAGAGGCAAAGAGGAAAGAAAAGGCACAGGCGAUCGCCAGCAGGAUGGACGCUGGCAGUCUCCACCGGCUCCUAAUCACUAAUCGCGGCAUCCGCCCGCCUGUGGCCGUCACUGAGUCAACUGUACGUGCUCCCGGGGACAGGAAAUCUGCUUCCGUCCAACCGGGAAGCGAACGGACCAACGGACAACAAGGAACCAGCGGGAGGAGCUUCCCUGAGUUAGGGGACGGCUGCUGACAAACACGUGGAGACCACGCGGCCUCGCUCCCGCCCCGCCCCCCCCGUUGCCCUGACAACCGCGCCGGCGUCAGGUUGCGCUGAGGGCGCGCGGCCAGCCUCCCACAGUGCCCCGCGCGCGCGCAUGCGCCGGGGAGGCCCGCCGCGCAGGCCGUUUGGCUGGGCCCUGGCCGCGCAGCACCUCGCGGAGUCGGGAGGCGGGUGGGAGUGCGCCGGAGAGACGAGCCGCUCGCCACGCGCCGGCUUCGUGCUGGGCGCCCUCGGGGACUCCGGAGGAGACCCCGCCUUCCAGGCCCGCGCCUCCCUUCGGAGCGGCGAGACCCGCGUCCCGUGCCCGCCCUGCCUCAGUUUCCCCAUUUGUAGGAUGCCGUGAACGCCACCGGCCCCAAGAUGUCACCACCCAAAGUAUCUCCAGACGUUGCCAGGUGUCCCCUAGGGGGCAGGAUGGCACCGAGAGAGAACCCCCCGAGCAGAGCCAAAAAUGAAAAGAUAGAUAAAUCUGUCAGUUUUCACUAAGUCGAUUUUGAAUUCUUUAACCACUGUGCUAUGCCCAAAAUAUAUGCUACAUUAAUUCUCCCAGUGGAGAUUCGUAAAAUAGCCAGAUUUUCUGGAAACUGGUUGACUCAGUUGGAGUCUGUGAAACAGCGGAUGAGUGUGAUGGACUCUUCCACUGAGCUGAACGGGCACUGGGCCAAGAAUCCGGAGACCUGGGAUCUGUCCCCAGGGCGGCCCUUACAAGCUCUGUGGCCUUGUCACUUAACUUCUCUGGACUGAUUGUCCCCUCUGUCAAAUGAGGGCUGCCAGGUGCCAGAUCUGGGCCAUGGGCCAGAAGAUGCUAUGUGCUGCCCUCACAGAGCAGGAACUUGAAGUAAGGAAUUGGGAGCCUGCUCAAGAGAAUGGGCUAACCAGGAUGGCCCGACCUGAACCCGCGAGAACACAAGCUCAAGGGAGCACAGACAGCCCGUUGUGUUUAUCGCUGCCUCCCGGGUGCUCAGAACAAUCCCGAUACCUAGGACCAGUCAAUAACUAGGUGUCGAAUGAAUGAACAAGGGGCACGUGGUGUAUUUGGGUAAGCAAUAAAUAAG